rnacentral:rRNA from 1 species
CCUACGGGUGGCAGCAGUCGAGAAUCUUCGGCAAUGGGCGCAAGCCUGACCGAGCGACGCCGCGUGUGCGAUGAAGGCCUUCGGGUUGUAAAGCACUGUCGAGGGGGAUAAAGCCGCAAGGUUGAUAGAUCCCUGGAGGAAGCACGGGCUAAGUUCGUGCCAGCAGCCGCGGUAAGACGAACCGUGCUAACGUUGUUCGGAAUCACUGGGCUUAAAGGGCGCGUAGGCGGGGUGGACAGUCUAUGGUGAAAUCCUCCGGCUCAACCGGAGAACUGCCGUGGAUACUGCCACUCUCGAGGGGUGUAGGGGCAUGCGGAACUUCCGGUGGAGCGGUGAAAUGCGUAGAUAUCGGAAGGAACGCCGGUGGCGAAAGCGGCGUGCUGGACACCUACUGACGCUGAGGCGCGAAAGCCAGGGGAGCAAACGGGAUUAGAUACCCCAGUAGUC